rnacentral:rRNA from 1 species
AGUGAACGCUGGCGGUAGGCCUAACACAUGCAAGUCGAACGGCAGCACAGUAAGAGCUUGCUCUUAUGGGUGGCGAGUGGCGGACGGGUGAGGAAUACAUCGGAAUCUACUUUUUCGUGGGGGAUAACGUAGGGAAACUUACGCUAAUACCGCAUACGACCUACGGGUGAAAGCAGGGGAUCUUCGGACCUUGCGCGAUUGAAUGAGCCGAUGUCGGAUUAGCUAGUUGGCGGGGUAAAGGCCCACCAAGGCGACGAUCCGUAGCUGGUCUGAGAGGAUGAUCAGCCACACUGGAACUGAGACACGGUCCAGACUCCUACGGGAGGCAGCAGUGGGGAAUAUUGGACAAUGGGCGCAAGCCUGAUCCAGCCAUACCGCGUGGGUGAAGAAGGCCUUCGGGUUGUAAAGCCCUUUUGUUGGGAAAGAAAAGCAGCAGGUUAAUACCCCGCUGUUCUGACGGUACCCAAAGAAUAGGCACCGGCUAACUUCGUG